AUUAUGACGUACUUGUACUGAUUGAGAUUUUAACACGAAGUGAGUGGCGAACGGGUGAGUAACACGUGGGUAACCUGCCCAGAAGUAGGGGAUAACACCUGGAAACAGAUGCUAAUACCGUAUAACAGAGAAAACCGCAUGGUUUUCUUUUAAAAGAUGGCUCUGCUAUCACUUCUGGAUGGACCCGCGGCGUAUUAGCUAGUUGGUGAGGUAAAGGCUCACCAAGGCAGUGAUACGUAGCCGACCUGAGAGGGUAAUCGGCCACAUUGGGACUGAGACACGGCCCAGACUCCUACGGGAGGCAGCAGUAGGGAAUCUUCCACAAUGGACGCAAGUCUGAUGGAGCAACGCCGCGUGAGUGAAGAAGGGUUUCGGCUCGUAAAGCUCUGUUGUUAAAGAAGAACGUGGGUAAGAGUAACUGUUUACCCAGUGACGGUAUUUAACCAGAAAGCCACGGCUAACUACGUGCCAGCAGCCGCGGUAAUACGUAGGUGGCAAGCGUUAUCCGGAUUUAUUGGGCGUAAAGCGAGCGCAGGCGGUCUUUUAAGUCUAAUGUGAAAGCCUUCGGCUCAACCGAAGAAGUGCAUUGGAAACUGGGAGCUUUGAGUGCAGAAGAGGACAGUGGA
rnacentral:rRNA from 1 species